UUCUGUUUCUUUCUCGGUCUUCUCUUCUUUCUUUCUUCCUGUCGAUUUUUUAUCAAAAAAAUGAACGUGUUUCAACGUGAGUGAUUCGUAGAAGUUGGUUAACUUGAUGAAUCAAAGGGGAAGUGAUGAACUUUUGUUGAUUGAACGGGGAGAAGAAAAUUGAUUUACUGUAAAUCGAAGUCAUCUAGUCCUUACUCGAUUCGAGAAGAGUUCAUUCUCUUCUUUUCUUUUUCUUCUUCAUCUUUCUUCUUAUCUCUUCUUCUGUUUCUUUCUUUCGGUCUUCUCUUCUUUCUUUUUUCCUGUCGAUUUCUUAUCAAAGAAAUGAACGUGUUUCGACGUGAGUGAUUCGUAGAAGUUGGUUAACUUGAUGAAUCCAAGGGGAAGUGAUGAACUGUUGUUGAUUGUACCGGGAGAAGAACAUUGAUGUUACUGUAAAUCAAAGUUAGGGUUUCUAGAAGAAUUCAAAGAUGAAUUAAGAGAUGGAAUUAGUUUUCUAAGAGAAGGAGUUGAAUGGUUUUAGGUUUAAUUGGAGUUAUGAAGCUGUUUUAGGAAAAAAUCAAAGAAUUAAGGUUUCUCAAAAAAUUAAAUAGAAGUUCGAUUAGUGAUGAAUAAGAUGAAAUUAAAUAUGGGUUUAAUCUGAGUUAGAAUUUGAAAUUGAAUAAUAGUUUGAAAUUGGUGAUUGGUGUUUGGAUCUGUUGUAAUGAAGAUUUGGGAUUUAGGGUUCUUGAGUUUUGGGUUGCAGAUGGAACAGAGAUAGGUCUAGUAUUGAUUGAAUAGGAAUCAGAAGGAGGUUGGUCUGCUGUCAGGAAUAAUGGUUUGUGUCCAAGGUAAUACUUCUCCAGUAAAUUGAACUUUUUUAAAGAUAUGUAAUCAAACUGAAGUAAUUGUUGUUUUAGUUCUGAAUUGAUGGGUUGUUUCAUGGGUUUGUGUUGAGAUUGAGUUAGAUAAUGAUAUGAGGUCUUAUUAUAUUUUCUAAUGAGAUUUGAGCUGAAGCAGUGGAUGAAUUGAUGAGGAUAUUAAUCAAGCAUGGUGGUAGUGAUGCAUGUAUGGAUACAAUGAGAAUCCAUGGAACCUCAAUUACAAUUUGGUGGUGUUAAAUGAUUUCAGGGAAUUCAUGGAGCUAAACUCAGUUGAAGUUGAUUGAGCAUUUGGAACCAGUGGUAGAUGUAAAUUACAGGGAGGACUGGGAAGUGGUGCAAUGAUGUUGUUAGUAUUGUGAGUUCGAGGUAAAUAUACUUUGAAAUAUAAAUGGUAAUGAGCAAGUUAGGACAAGGCUGGGGUUAUGGUUAUGGAAUUUAGAUUCUGAGUGACGGUAAUGAACUGAAAUGGGUUAUUCCGGUUUAUACUUGAUACGAGCUGGGACUGAUGUGUAUGAAUGUAGUUGUGUAUGUUUGGUUUGAGAAAAAGCAGAGAGAUGGUUAUAUUGCCUUGGUGUUUAAUUAGUUGCAAUGGAGUAGUGCAGCUGUGGGAGUUAUAUGAAUGAUAUGUAUUGCUAAGGUUGUAGCUGCAUAACAGAAGUAGAUGUAGCGAUGCUGAGGUGUAAGGUGUGUAUGUAUUGAUAGCAGUGUAUAUGGAACUGGAGUUGGAGAUGGAAGCAGUAAUGAAGUUGUGACAGAACUAUUGUAUGGAAUUGAGAUUGUUCUAAAGAGUUUGAUAAGGAUAGAGUAGAUGGUUAUAGUUUUGAGGAUGAAAUUCGGAGUAUGAAGUUGAAUUGUGGAGUUCAGAUUUAAGUGGUGGUGAUUCACUUUUGUACCUGUGUUGCUUAAAGCUGCCAUUGCAGUUAGUUAUUAACAACGACCGAUUCAAAGGAUGAACCAGUGGAUCGCGGAUCUCGAGGUAGGCGUGGCUUGUCAUCAAAAGAGUUUCAGAGACAGAUCAUAGUUGCGCAGCGUAGGCUUCAAGGGUUGAUUUCGUUAGUUGGAUAACUUCUACUAUCCUUAUUAUAUCGUUUAUUGUAUCCGUAAACCAAAUGGCUAUUGUAUAUGUAUCAUUUGGGAGGAUUUAUUGUAUAUAUAUUUUUGAGCGGGGCUAGUUUUGGGUUAAGUUUUGUAGAAGAUUUCUUAAUUGAAUGUUUAAGUAAAUGAUUUAGAUUUUUGAGUGCC